AGGCUAAAAUCGGCAAAAACAACUGUCUAUGACACACUUUCUGACGCAACAAGGACAGAACGUUCCGACGACUACAGUACUAUCGAUCAUGCCUCGACCAAUGUGCAUAGUGCAGGCACCAGUUCCAGAAUACCAAAGCCGAAAGAAAAUCGAAAAUUACCGAAGUAAGUGUCCGCGAGAAAUAAUAACUUGUCAAGUGCUCGGACUGAUUAUAAAUAACGAUAUCAGUUGGAGGAAAAAAGUGAAUAUUAUGUGAUGAGAGGACCGCAAUAAGUGUGUUUCUAUCUGUAUUCACUUCUUCCAUGAAGAUAAAGAACACGUUAUAAUGGAAUAUUAUACAGAUUUACCUGUGUAUUAAGUAUAUGGAAGAAAAUCACGUAUAUUGUAGGUUUAUUUUGUUUCGUAUUUAACAUUAAACGGGAAACA